AUUGAACGCUGGCGGCAUGCCUUACACAUGCAAGUCGAACGGCAGCGGACCUUCGGGUGCCGGCGAGUGGCGAACGGGUGAGUAAUAUAUCGGAACGUACCUUUCAGUGGGGGAUAACGUAGCGAAAGUUACGCUAAUACCGCAUAUUCUGUGAGCAGGAAAGCAGGGGAUCGCAAGACCUUGCGCUGAUUGAGCGGCCGAUAUCAGAUUAGCUAGUUGGUGAGGUAAAGGCUCACCAAGGCAACGAUCUGUAGCGGGUCUGAGAGGAUGAUCCGCCACACUGGAACUGAGACACGGUCCAGACUCCUACGGGAGGCAGCAGCGGGGAAUUUUGGACAAUGGGCGCAAGCCUGAUCCAGCCAUGCCGCGUGAGUGAAGAAGGCCU
rnacentral:rRNA from 1 species